rnacentral:rRNA from 1 species
UCCAGCAGCCAUAUCACCCUGCAACUCCCAACUGACAACCCACUGAAGCUAAGCAGGUGUGAGCCUGGCCAGUCCCUGGAUGGGAGAUCUCCUGGAAAAAACUUGCUGCUGGAA